AAACAAGAUUAUUCGCCAGAGAACUACUAGCAACAGCUUAAAAUUCAAAGGACUUGGCGGUGCUUUAAACCCCCCUAGAGGAGCCUGUUCUGUAAUCGAUAAACCCCGAUAGACCUCACCACCCCUUGCUAAUUCAGUUUAUAUACCGCCAUCUUCAGCAAACCCUUAAAAGGAACAAGAGUAAGCAUAAUCAUCUCGCAUAAAAAAGUUAGGUCAAGGUGUAACCCAUGGGGUGGGAAGAAAUGGGCUACAUUUUCUAUUUAAGAACACCUUACGAAAGUUUUUAUGAAACUAAAAACUAAAGGUGGAUUUAGUAGUAAACCAAGAAUAGAGAGCUUGGUUGAAUAGGGCAAUGAAGCACGCACACACCGCCCGUCACCC
rnacentral:rRNA from 1 species